rnacentral:sRNA from 1 species
ACAAAGGAACUCACAACAGUAGAUACAUAGGUAAAUGGGUUAGAGAGAAGGGUUCGAGUGGCUGCUGAUUUGUCCUUCUUCUUCUUGCUCUUGCUUUUGCUUUUCCUCACGAAGACUCGAAGAUGGUCGUGGUGAUGACCGGAUGACCCUUCCUUGUUCUCUUCAUGUUCAACUAGUUCCCGACCCAAAGGAGUGAUCGUAUGGCGUCCGCAUGAAAUUAU